UUAUAUUGUAUAUUUACUUAUUAUUUAUUUUACUUUUCCUUUUUCAGAUGUUUAAUGUAGUUUUUAUAUUUAUUAUAUUUUAUAUUUAAUUAUUAUUUAUUUUUAUUCUAAUAUUAUGAUAUAUGUUUAAUGUAAUAUUUUUGUUUCUUAUACUCUAUAUUUACUUAUUAUUUAUUUUACUAUACAUUUUUUAUAUAGAUGUCAAAUUUAGUUUUUCCAGUUCUGAUAUUGUAUAUUUACUUAUUGUGUAUCUUUUCUUAUAUUGUAUAUCUACUUAUUCUAAUAUUACGGCAGAUUUUUAAUAUAAUAUUUCUAUUUCUUAUAUUGUAUAUUUACUUAUUAUUUAUUUUACUAUACAUUUUUUAGCGAGAUGUUUAAUUUAGUUUUUUUUUAUUUCUUAAUUGUAUUUUAUCUAUUGUUUAUUUUUUCUUAUACUGUAUAUUUACUUAUUCUAAUUUUCUUAUUUUUAUAUCAAAUGUUAAUAUUAUGAUAGAUGUUUAAUGUAAUAUUUCUAUUUUUAUAUUGUAUAUUUACUUAUAAAAAUAUUUAGAAAUAAUAAAAAUGUAAAACUAUACAUUUUUCAGAUAGAUAUUUAAUGUAGUUUUUUCAUUUAUAUAUUUUUUUUCAUUGUAUAUUUACUAGUCUAAUUGUUUUUUUAUAUCAAGUUGUAAUAUUACGAUAGAUUUUUAAUGUAAUAUUUAUAUUUCUUAUAUUAUAUAUUUACUUAUUAUUUAUUUUUUCUUAUAUUGUAUAUUUACUUAUUAUUGUUUAAUGUAAUACUUCUAUUUUUCAUAUUGUAUAUUUAAUUAUUAUUUAUUUUUUCUUGUAUUUAUAUUUAGUUUUUAUUAUUUUUUAGUAACAAUGACACGUGUCAUAUUUCGGAAUAAGUUUUAUUCGUUGAUGUGGACGCUACAGGGAACCUCAAAAUGUCUCUUUUAUUAGUAUAGAUAGACUAGGAAUUAACAUUUUAUUAGUAUAGACUAUGAAUUAACAUGUGCUAGGCACGUGGCUAUAUCAAUUUUGAAAUGGUAACUAUAUAGCUAUUCUUUUAAACAUUGUAUUAUGAACAACAACAAAAUUCUAAAUUGUAUGUUUGUGUGAAUACAUAUUUUCUUAGAAAAAAAAACCUAUACAUUUUUAAGAUAUGUGUUUGAUAUAGUUUUCUAUUUCUUAUAUUGUAGGGUAAUUCUCUCAAAUAACAUUUUUUAAGUUUUUGUCACAAAAUAACUUUCAAUAAAGAAAAUGACCAAAAUAGCCUUUCUUAUUUUGAAAAUUUUAAUUUUUAAUUUUUAAAAUUUGAAACUCUAUCCUCAAAAUCCAACUUCUUAACUCUAAACCCUAAGUAUAGAUUAGUUUAUUCUAGGGUAUAAAUAUAUUUUUACUCUUUAAUAAAAUUUGUUUUGGUCAUUUUUUCUCACUAAGGGAUAUUUUUGUGAGAAAAACCUAAAAAUGACUAUCGUAGGGAAUUUCUAUAUAUUGAAUAUUUAUUUAUUUUAAUUUUUCUUGCUUUUAUAUCAAAUGUUAAAUUACGAUAGAUGUGUCAUGUAAUAUUUUUAUUUUUUAUAUUGUAUAUUUGUUUAUUAUAUAUUUAACUAUAUAUUUUUCCAUUUAACUAUAUAUUCUUCAGAUAUAUGUUUAAUUUAGUUUUUUUUUUCAUUUUUUAUAUUGUAUAUUUACUUACGGUUUAUCUUUUCUUAUUUUGUAUAUUUACUUAUUCUAAAUUUCUUGCUUUUAUAUCAAUGAUAAUAUUACGAUAUAUAUAUUUAAUGCAAUAUUUUAUUUAUUAUAUACUAUAUUUACUUAUUAUUUAUUUUUUCUUAUAUUUUUCAUUUACUUAUUAUAAUAUGUAGCAUUUGUAUUUCUUAUAUUGUAUAUUUACUUAUUAUUUAUUUCUUCCUAUAUUGUAUAUAUAUUUACUUAUAAAAAUAUUUGUAAAUAAUAAAAAUGUAAAAAUAAUACAUUUUUUCAGACAUAUGUUUAAUUUAGUUUUUCCAUUUCUUAUAUUGUAUAUUUACUUAUUAUAUUUGUUUUGCUUUU
rnacentral:lncRNA from 1 species